rnacentral:rRNA from 1 species
CGCGUAGGCGGCUUGUUAAGUCUGGGGUGAAAUCUCCCGGCUCAACCGGGAGGGGUCCUCGGAUACUGGCAGGCUGGAGGGGAGCAGAGGAGAGCGGAAUUCCCGGUGUAGUGGUGAAAUGCGUAGAUAUCGGGAGGAACACCAGUGGCGAAGGCGGCUCUCUGGGCUCUACCUGACGCUGAGGUGCGAAAGCGUGGGGAGCGAACCGGAUUAGAUACCCGGGUAGUCCACGCUGUAAACGAUGGACACUAGGUGUGGGAGGUAUCGACCCCUUCCGUGCCGAAGCUAACGCUAUAAGUGUCCCGCCUGGGGAGUACGGCCGCAAGGCUAAA